rnacentral:rRNA from 1 species
AUUGAACGCUGGCGGCAGGCCUAACACAUGCCAGUCGAACGGUAACAGGAAGAAGCUUGCUUCUUUGCUGACGAGUGGCGGACGGGUGAGUAAUGUCUGGGAAACUGCCUGAUGGAGGGGGAUAACUACUGGAAACGGUAGCUAAUACCGCAUAACGUCGCAAGACCAAAGAGGGGGACCUUCGUGCCUCUUGCCAUCGGAUGUGCCCAGAUGGGAUUAGCUAGUAGGUGGGGUAACGGCUCACCUAGGCGACGAUCCCUAGCUGGUCUGAGAGGAUGACCAGCCACACUGGAACUGAGACACGGUCCAGACUCCUACGGGAGGCAGCAGUGGGGAAUAUUGCACAAUGGGCGCAAGCCUGAUGCAGCCAUGCCGCGUGUAUGAAGAAGGCCUUCGGGUUGUAAAGUACUUUCAGCGGGGAGGAAGGGAGUAAAGUUAAUACCUUUGCUCAUUGACGCUACCCGCAGAAGAAGCACCGGCUAACUCCGUG